AGAGUUUGAUCCUGGCUCAGGAUGAACGCUGGCGGCGCACUUAAGACAUGCAAGUCGAACGAAAAUCUAAUGUACAGAAGUAAGUUUGAACGAUUAGCUUGCUAAGAGGGAUUUCUAAUGGAAGUUUUUUAGAUUUUAGUGGCGGACGGGUGAGUAAUACGUAGGUAACCUGCCUAGAAGAGGGGGAUAACACACAGAAAUGGGUGCUAAUACCGCAUAAGACCACAGUAUCGCAUGAUACAGGGGUCAAAGGAGUAAUCCGCUUUUAGAUGGACCUGCGGCUGAUUAGUUAGUUGGAAGGGUAACGGCCUCCCAAGACGAUGAUCAGUAGCCGAGCUGAGAGGCUGGCCGGCCACAUUGGGACUGAGACACGGCCCAGACUCCUACGGGAGGCAGCAGUCGGGAAUAUUGGACAAUGGAGGAAACUCUGAUCCAGUGACGCCGCGUGAAGGAAGAAGGUCUUCGGAUUGUAAACUUAUUUUGUCAGGGAAAGAAUAAAAUGACUGUACCUGAAGAAAAAGCACCCCGGCAAACUACGUGCCAGCAGCCGCGGU
rnacentral:rRNA from 1 species